GAUGAACGCUAGCGGCAGGCCUAAUACAUGCAAGUCGAGGGGCAUCAUAGUGUAGCAAUACAUGGGUGGCGACCGGCAAACGGGUGCGGAACACGUACGCAACCUUCCUCAAAGUGGGGGAUAGCCCGGAGAAAUCCGGAUUAAUACCCCGUAAGAUUGUGGGCAGGCAUCUACCAGCAAUAAAAGCUACGGCGCUAUGAGAUGGGCGUGCGUCUGAUUAGGUAGUUGGUGAGGUAACGGCUCACCAAGCCAACGAUCAGUAACUGGCGUGAGAGCGCGACCAGUCACACGGGCACUGAGACACGGGCCCGACUCCUACGGGAGGCAGCAGUAAGGAAUAUUGGUCAAUGGAGGGAACUCUGAACCAGCCAUGCCGCGUGAAGGAUGAAGGUCCUCUGGAUUGUAAACUUCUUUUAUCUGGGAAGAAAGGGCAUUAAUCUUAAUGUUUUGACGGUACCAGAGGAAUAAGCACCGGCUAACUCCGUGCCAGCAGCCGCGGUAAUACGGAGGGUGCAAGCGUUAUCCGGAUUCACUGGGUUUAAAGGGUGCGUAGGCUGAUAAGAAAGUCCGUGGUGAAAUCUCCGAGCUUAACUCGGAAACUGCCGUGGAUACUAUUUAUCUUGAAUAUUGUGGAGGUUAGCGGAAUAUGUCAU
rnacentral:rRNA from 1 species